UUAUUCCUGUAAAUUUGUAACAUUAAAUCAGAAGCAAAGUCAUUUAAACUAAAAAAUUAAUAAAAUUGGCAAAAUACACUUUAUCAAAUAUGAUCAAAUACUUUGCAUCUGAUUAAAAUAGUUAUAUGCAAUUUGGUUCAAUUUAAAUCUGCAUUUACUCAAAAUAAUAAUUAUAUAUAUUUCAGAGUGUACAAUAACAUAAGUGAGAGAAUGUAAGAUACCUGAUUCAAUCGACAUAAAUGAUACGUAAGGUACUGUACUAAUCCGAACCCUGGAUGAGGAUUGGAAACAGGAGGAGAAAGGACACACUUAAUCUGAAACCUACGAGGCGUAAGAGAUAGUGAAUGCGAGAUUAAUAUAGUUGAACCAAAUACAAGCAGUAAUAUAAGGAAUAUACAAAGAAUUCUCGAUUCCAAUAGAGGUAUAUAUCUAGAAAAAUACAAAUGACAGUUUUAUUAAACUCUUUUUCGAUAAAUUAGCUAAAAUAUUGCAAUUUAGAUUAAUUUAAUCUUAGAUAUCCUGGGACAAAACUAGACCUAGAAGUU